GAUGAACGCUAGCGAUAGGCUUAACACAUGCAAGUCGAGGGGCAUCAGGAUGUAGCAAUACAUUGCUGGCGACCGGCGCACGGGUGAGUAACACGUAUGCAACCUACCCCUAACAGGGGGAUAGCCCGUCGAAAGGCGGAUUAAUUCCCCAUAAUACACUGAUGCUGCAUGGCAUUAUUGUUAAAGAAUUUCGGUUAUGGAUGGGCAUGCGUUCCAUUAGCUAGUUGGUAGGGUAACGGCCUACCAAGGCAACGAUGGAUAGGGGAACUGAGAGGUUUGUCCCCCACACUGGUACUGAGACACGGACCAGACUCCUACGGGAGGCAGCAGUGAGGAAUAUUGGUCAAUGGGCGAUAGCCUGAACCAGCCAAGUCGCGUGAAGGAAGACGGUAUUAUGUAUUGUAAACUUCUUUUGUAAGGGAAUAAAGUGUCCUACGAGUAAGAUUUUGUAUGUACCUUACGAAUAAGCAUCGGCUAACUCCGUGCCAGCCGCCGCAGUAA
rnacentral:rRNA from 1 species